rnacentral:misc_RNA from 1 species
CUUUAAUUUUGCCAAAUUACACAAUGUACAGCCGAUUGAAACUCGUAAAUAUACAGACCUAUACAUGCAUAUAAAAUCAAAAUAAUAUGGGUAUAAUCAUACUAAAUUUAUGCAUAAGGAUCUAAAACAUUCAUAUAUAUAUAAAAGGUUAACGAGGCGCUCACAAAGACAAAACAUCAUAUACCUACCUACAAAUGCAGGACUUGUGUGUGAUUUAGAAAAUCAAAUGAUUGCAUAAACGGUAGCUUACAUAAGCGAUCAAUCUCACUUUGAAUGACAGAGGAUUACCUUGGAUUUUUCAAACCGUAUGUUCAAUAUAUUUGCUUUGCGGAUGCGUUGUUUAGAUAGUGUAGUUCUACUACCAAUAUUAUUAAAGGUGCUUGCACAAAAAUGUGAAUAAAAUAUAAAUAAUUUUCUAUUAUUUUGACUAAUGUAUUUAGCUCAAAUGAGACACGAGAUAAUAGCUCAAUUUAGUUGGUACCUGUGUGACAAAUACAAUUUAAUAUCCCACUGCUGGACAUAGGUUUCUUUUCCCAUGUAGGCAUCAGAGCGGACACAUAAUACAAAUAACAAUAAAUAUGUAAAUAUAUUAAACAUACACACACAGUCAUCUAUUUCUAAGGUGAGGAACUUAAUGAUAACAGCCGACUCAAAGACGAUACAAAUAACCGACUCAAAGACGAAUUUUUUUAAUUUCUCAUUCGAUCACCUAACGAAUCUUCAAGAUUAGCCAUCUAAUGUGGGCCGUAUUAGUGAGCUAAACUUGAAAUAAUAGAUCGAUACAGACGAAAUACACUAUUUGAAGAAUUUAGUAUUCAGGCCCUCAGGAAUUACGAACAACAAGGUGACGCAAAGUAUUUCGGAUGGCGUUAAACUAGGGUAGAUUCUGCGAUUUUCCUCUUUCUUGAAACUAGAUUAAAUACUAGUCGAAAAUAAUGUGUAAUGUUGUAACAUUCAACAACAAUUUUGUUUUGUUGUUGUAUGGAUUAAUUAGUUGUACAGCUUUCUUCAAUGUUUGUAUGUAUUGUAGAUGCCUGAUGAUGGUCCAAUAAAGGAUCGAAACGUCGCAUGAAUUUGCAAUUAGUGGUUUGAUUGGCACCUUAUGUCCACUUUCCUGCGAACCGUCAAAGAAUAGUUAAGAAUAUAGUUCUCAACCAUUGCUAGUAGGAACAAAAUAAUAUAUGAUCAAAAUUUUACCUUAGCGAGUCGAGCGUAAUUACUAUUGUAUGCAACUGAUUAUUUAUUUUUUUUAAGAUCAUUGAACGUUCUAUUGAGAUUUCCUAAGGUCUAACCAAUAUGAGAGUGUCACCAGGAAUCCCAAACCAAAUGUAGUAGUCCUUCCACAUAAAGAAAUUUACAUAUGUUUAGUAGGUUGGGCACAGCAUGAAAUUUCCUGCCCAAAAUAUGGAGCAGCCCGACUGGGGUAGCUAGGUAGGUAGGCUAGGUAGAUAACAGCUAAAUAAUACUGCUUUCAAACAGGGUUGUACUCCUGUUGGUGAGUUAGGUGACCAGAGCUCCUGGGGGAAAUAGGGACGCCAACACACUUGUGAUGCUUCUGGCGUUGCAGACAUCUAUAAACUUCGCUUCAGCCUGAUCAGAGCUUAAUCCACCACGC